rnacentral:miRNA from 1 species
UACUACUUUUAAAAUCAGUUAUUUCAAAACGGAUUUUGUAUGUAGUAUACAAAAUCGGUUCUAAAAUAACUGAUUUUAAAAGUAUCG